GUUUGCAAUUCUGAGUGCAGGAUGGCGCUACUGUUCGUUAAGGAGGUGAAGGCGACGAAGUGUGUUUCUUGUUAGCGUAACCGCUGCGGCAGCGGAGGACAAGGGUCGUUGUCUUAGUCGUCCGCCGUUGUUGUGGCGGCAGCGACGAUGAUGAGCGAAGCUUUUCCUCAUUGCAUUUUUUUCGGCUGCGGCACCAGUGGUUGCGGAGGUGGAAAUUACAGUCAUCGUGGUUGGCAGCGGGAGUGGUGCCAACCGCGGCCGCGGCGGAAGGAGAUAGAGGCGAAUGAGGGGUCGAGAAGGAGGAUGCUGUUCGGAAGGAUAGGAUCAAGCAGAUUGGUGUUAAGAUCGACACGCACUAU
rnacentral:lncRNA from 1 species